rnacentral:rRNA from 1 species
AGUGAACGCUGGCGGUAGGCCUAACACAUGCAAGUCGAACGGCAGCACAGUAAGAGCUUGCUCUUACGGGUGGCGAGUGGCGGACGGGUGAGGCAUACAUCGGAAUCUACUUUUUCGUGGGGGAUAACGUAGGGAAACUUACGCUAAUACCGCAUACGACCUACGGGUGAAAGCAGGGGAUCUUCGGACCUUGCCCGAUUGAAUGAGCCGAUGUCGGAUUAGCUAGUUGGCGGGGUAAAGGCCCACCAAGGCGACGAUCCGUAGCUGGUCUGAGAGGAUGAUCAGCCACACUGGAACUGAGACACGGUCCAGACUCCUACGGGAGGCAGCAGUGGGGAAUAUUGGACAAUGGGCGCAAGCCUGAUCCAGCCAUACCGCGUGAGUGAAGAAGGCCUUCGGGUUGUAAAGCCCUUUUGUUGGGAAAGAAAAGCAGCAGGUUAAUACCCCGCUGUUCUGACGGUACCCAAAGAAUAAGCACCGGCUAACUUCGUG